UGGGAAUGCCUGUUGCAGUCGGAGGGAUAGCUGCCGUCGUCGUAGUUAGGCCACAAGCCGUGGAUGCUGAAAUCUGCCGCCGGCUUCCCCGUCCUUGGGUAGCAACAUCCUCUCCUCGUGUCACAUUUCAAACACAUGAAGGGAUCAAAUUGAUCCGGAGUACUCAGAUCCUCUUAUUAGUAGCAGUACCAGAAGACGAUGGUAGUCUGAAAAAUGUUAGUAGCAGCAAUAGAAGAUAAUGGUCAUGAUGAUGAAGCUUUACCUGCUGAACGAAGAAAAAGAAAUCAAACUCCCGGGGCAUUGACAUGACACAGGGCAACAAGAGCAGAAAGACCACCGUCGUCGUCAUCCCCAAGUAACCUGACGCAAACUCCAUCUCCAACGUCUUGGCACCACGUUAAUUACUCACAAGAACGAAGGGGAUGUGCUUGAAUAUCUCUGCUAAAAGUACUGGUGCUUGCCUCAUAAUCUCAUAUAUAGAAAAAGAAAGAGAGAGAGGCAGUAGUGCUACAUAAGUGGGAUUGUGGGAAGGCUGGUCCGGAAAUGAUACUGUAGGUUUGUCAUCAUUUUCUUAUCGUUUCGAUAGGUGUGCACUGUACUAUAAUAGAAACAGGGCAGAAUUUAUAAAGGAAUAUGCCAUAAUGAUUUCUGUGCAA